rnacentral:rRNA from 1 species
UAACCCCUGGUGGCGAGUGGCGAACGGGUGAGUAAUAUAUCGGAACGUGUCCUGUAGCGGGGGAUAACCUAUCGAAAGAUGGACUAAUACCGCAUACGACCUACGGGUGAAAGCGGAGGACCGCAAGGCUUCGCACUAUAGGAGCGGCCGAUAUCGGAUUAGCUAGUUGGCGGGGUAACGGCCCACCAAGGCGACGAUCCGUAGCUGGUCUGAGAGGACGAUCAGCCACACUGGAACUGAGACACGGUCCAGACUCCUACGGGAGGCAGCAGUGGGGAAUUUUGGACAAUGGGCGCAAGCCUGAUCCAGCCAUGCCGCGUGAGUGAAGAAGGCCUUCGGGUUGUAAAGCUCUUUCGGCGGGGACGAAACGGUUCGUGCUAAUACCACGGACUACUGACGGUACCCGCAGAAGAAGCACCGGCUAACUACGUGCCAGCAGCCGCGGUAAUACGUAGGGUGCAGGCGUUAAUCGGAAUUACUGGGCGUAAGGCGUGCGCAGGCGGUUUGUUAAGACAGGUGUGAAAUCCCCGGGCUUAACCUGGGAAUUGCGCUUGUAACUGGCAGACUGGAGUGUGGCAGAGGGGGGUGGAAUUCCAAGUGUAGCAGUGAAAUGCGUAGAUAUUUGGAGGAACACCGAUGGCGAAGGCAGCCCCCUGGGCUAACACUGACGCUCAUGCACGAAAGCGUGGGGAGCAAACAGGAUUAGAUACCCUGGUAGUCCACGCC